ACCAGGAGAAGGGCCACCUGCUUGGGGCGGGUGAGUCCAGGCCCCCAGAUGACUUGGGCCUUUUCUAAGAGUGACUGGAGGAAUGCUACCGUGGGACUAUGCAUUGAGUUUCUGAUGUUGCUGCCAAAGGCAGUCAGCUCAUUUGACUCUAUCUACUACGCUGCAUUUGAGAUUUUGUCAAUGCCAUUGAACACAAAGGUGAAGGCAAGAGCCCAUAAAUAUGGCUGCACCAAAAAGACAUGCAUAAAAUGGUGAAAAAUUUGAGUUGCUUGAUGUUCACAUUCUCGGCUGAGGUUGAAUGAGGCUCCAGAAACUGACAAGCAAGUCUGCAGACCAGCAGAUGGAUGGAGGAAUGACGGGGCAGAAAGGGAGAAGAGGAGGAACAUCUGAACGCCAAAAGGAAUAAGGCUGGGGGCAGUCCGAAAGGAUUCUGUUUGCUGGGCGGCCCGACCCCAGGGGAGGAUCAUUUUCCCGCUCCAUCCCCUGCUUCUGACUCCCCAUUUAUGCUGCUGGAAGUCACCUCCAC